rnacentral:rRNA from 1 species
GAUGAACGCUGGCGGCGUGCUUAACACAUGCAAGUCGAACGGAAAGGCUCCUGCUUGCAGGGGUACUCGAGUGGCGAACGGGUGAGUAACACGUGGGUGAUCUGCCCUGCACUUCGGGAUAAGCCUGGGAAACUGGGUCUAAUACCGGAUAGGACCACAUUUUGGAUGGUGUGGUGGAAAGUUUUUCGGUGUGGGUUGGGCUCGCGGCCUAUCAGCUUGUUGGUGGGGUAAUGGCCUACCAAGGCGUAGACGGGUAGCCGGCCUGGGAGGGGGUACGGCCACAUUGGGACUGAGAUACGGCCCAGACUCCUACGGGAGGCAGCAGUGGGGAAUAUUGCACAAUGGGCGCAAGCCUGAUGCAGCGGCGCCGCGUGGGGGAUGACGGCCUUCGGGUUGUAAACUCCUUUCGCUAGGGACGAAGCGCAAGUGACGGUACCUGGAGAAGAAGCACCGGCUAACUACGUG